rnacentral:rRNA from 1 species
CGAACGGGUGAGUAACACGUGGAUAACAUUACCUUCAGGUGGGAAUAACAGUACGGGAAACUGAUGCUAAUACCGCAGAUGUCAUAACAUGUAUUUGAUUUGACUAAAGGGGGGGCUCCUUUGGGACCUCUCGCUGAUUGAUUGGUCCGCGUCCCAUUAGCUCGUUGGUGGGGUAAUGGCCUACCAAGGCAACGAUGGGUAGCCGGCCUGAGAGGGUGUCCGGCCACACUGGGAUUGAGAUACGGCCCAGACUCCUUCGGGAGGCAGCAGUCGAGAAUCUUCCACAAUGUACGAAAGUAUGAUGGAGCGACGCCGCGUGUGUGAUGAAGGCUUUAUGAGUUGUAAAGCACUGUCAGAGGGGAAGAACAAGCGUAUAAAUAAUAAGUAUACGCUCUGACGUACCCUCAGAGGAAGCUCCGGCUAACUCCGUG